GAUGAACGCUGGCGGCGUGCCUAAUACAUGCAAGUCGAGCGAACGGACGAGAAGCUUGCUUCUCUGAUGUUAGCGGCGGACGGGUGAGUAACACGUGGAUAACCUACCUAUAAGACUGGGAUAACUUCGGGAAACCGGAGCUAAUACCGGAUGAUAUUUUGAACCGCAUGGUUCAAAAGUGAAAGACGGUCUUGCUGUCACUUAUAGAUGGAUCCGCGCUGCAUUAGCUAGUUGGUAAGGUAACGGCUUACCAAGGCAACGAUGCAUAGCCGACCUGAGAGGGUGAUCGGCCACACUGGAACUGAGACACGGUCCAGACUCCUACGGGAGGCAGCAGUAGGGAAUCUUCCGCAAUGGGCGAAAGCCUGACGGAGCAACGCCGCGUGAGUGAUGAAGGUCUUCGGAUCGUGAAACUCUGUUAUUAGGGAAGAACAUAUGUGUAAGUAACUGUGCACAUCUUGACGGUACCUAAUCAGAAAGCCACGGCUAACUACGU
rnacentral:rRNA from 1 species